rnacentral:misc_RNA from 1 species
CUGCACCUGGCCGUCGAAGAGCGGAGGCGUGAUUGUGCUCGUCUCCUAUUAGCUGGUGGAGCUAAAGCCGAUAUCAGAGACACUACCGAAGGCGAUACACCCUUGCACAUAGCCGCAAGGGUUGAAGACGAAAGGACGGUAAAGUUGCUAUUACAAAAGGGUGCAAAUAAAGAUAUCCGCAACAAGAGCGGCAAAACGGCAUACGCUGUUGCUGCAGAAUAUGGCCAUAGUCGCCUUUUCGAUUCGUUGAAAUUGGGUGACAGUUUAUGCAUCGCAGCUAGAAAAGGAGAGGUAAGAACUAUGCUGAAAUUGAUUGAAAAUGGAGCAAACAUCAAUGGCGGAGACCCGCACGGGUGGACUGCUUUGCAUAGAGCAGCAUUCAAGGGAAAAGUAGACGCAGUUCGGGCUCUGCUUGAUAAGGGCCUAGACAUUGAUGCCAAAGAUGAAGAUGGCUACACUGCAUUGCAUUGUGCAGUGGAGUCAGGUCACGCAGAUGUGAUUGAAUUGUUAUUGAAGAAAGGUACAGACGCCGAAGCCAGGGAGGAUAAGGGUGUCACUGCUUUACAAAUCGACGAGUCCUUGCACCAUGGGGAGAUCACUAGAGUGAUACAAGCAGCAGCUGCGGCGCCGGUGCACCUUCCGUUUGGGAAAGGCAUGGCAGGAAAGGAGGUGGAGAAGCCAAUCAAGAAAAGGCCACCUAGAGCAAGAGCUUUGCGGGGUAUAUGGAAAUGGGACAAGCAUGCAGUCCUUCCCUCAUAGAAUUAAGAAGAAAUUAAUUGAGGGAGACAUUGUGUAGUGCCCAUGUAUGUGAUCAAAACAUCAUGCACCCUGUAACAAUUAAUGAAGAAUAUAUUGAUUAAAAAAAAA